rnacentral:rRNA from 1 species
UACGUAGGUGGCAAGCGUUGUCCGGAUUUACUGGGCGUAAAGAGCGCGCAGGCGGUCGUACAAGUCGCGUGUGAAAGCCCCCGGCUCAACUGGGGAGGGUCACGCGAUACUGUUCGACUCGAAGGCAGGAGAGGGUAGUGGAAUUCCCGGUGUAGUGGUGAAAUGCGUAGAUAUCGGGAGGAACACCAGUGGCGAAGGCGACUACCUGGCCUGUUCUUGACGCUGAGGCGCGAAAGCUAGGGGAGCAAACGGG